rfam:Sphingobacterium antarcticus 4BY contig002, whole genome shotgun sequence.
AACCGCCGUAUGCCGAACGGCACGUACGGUGGUGUGAGGGGACAGGUAGUCAAUUAAUGACUACCUUCCAACUCAAU